CAGCGCUCGCCCUCACCUCCGAGCUGGUCUCGUCGGACCCGAGACGGACAUUAACGCCAGGACGCCGAGCGGCCGGACGGGAGAUGCAUGUGGGCCAGACCCAAACACACGCUGGCCCCCCGCGCCGGACCCCGCGGAGCCUCCAAAUAUCUCCCGGCUGAAGUCACCGGCCCGACAUACCGUGCGCUGCGCGGCCGGCGGCGCAGGGCGCCGCGGCUCCCGCGGGCCCCCGCGGCGGCGGAGCCGGCCCGGGUAACCCGACACCGCGCCCGGGGGCGGCACGGCCCUCCCCGGCAGCGGCUGCUGCGCGCUCGCAUCGCGCCCGGCGCCCGCAGCGGGGCACCGCGGGCCGCCGCUCGGCACGUCGGCUCGGCCGCGGCGGCCGCCCCUCGCUCGCCCCUCGCAGGUGCCGGCGCCGGGAGCGGGGGGUCCGCCGGCCGCCGGGCCGGCCCCGCCGCGGGGGGACGCGAGGGCACCGCCGCGCCGCGCUGCGCGGCCCCUGCGCGCCGGCCGGGCUCUGCGCGCCCUGGGGGGGCGGCGGCUUCGCUCGCCGGAGGCCGCAGCAAAGCCGCUGUAAACAGUCUCGGCUUACAGCCCCGCUCCUUGUAUUUAUGACUCACCCAGUUGUCCGGAGGUAUGAGGUCUUCAUGUCGCCGGUGCUAUGAAGUUAACGCGAGCGCAGCCCGGGCAGGAGGUCGGGGAAGAGCGCGGGGCUUGUGCGGCGGCCAAUAAAGCACUCUGCGCUGC